rnacentral:tRNA from 1 species
UAGCUCAGUUGGUUGAGUGUGGUGCUGACAACACCAAGGUCGUGGGUUCAAUUCCCAU